UUACCGAAACCAAAAAGCUCCGAUGUG
rnacentral:sRNA from 1 species